AAAAUCCUUCACCCUGGAUGAAAGUCCGGGUGGACCAGCCACUGGGGCUCUAAACCUACGCAUAGCCAGCGUCGUCUUGACCUCUCGACCACGUGUGGUGCGCGUCACUUCAAACCACUGUGAAACUUCCCGUUGCUUCGGCGGCAUGCCCAGCGCUGUCAGCCCGUCCGAGGCCCCACCGCAAACCAUUUCUGUAAACUUCUGUCAGUAUACGAAAAGUAAAUCGUUA
rnacentral:misc_RNA from 1 species